GGGAAGGUGGCUCAGCGGUAGAGCGCUUGCCUUGCAUGCAUGAGGCCCUGGGUUCAGUGGUAGAGCGCUUGCCUUGCAUGCCUG
rnacentral:tRNA from 1 species